UGCGCCCGUGUGUAUGUUUGCAUUUGUGAAUGUGUGCGUGUAAAUUCGAACGUGAAUACAGGGGUGUGGAUACAUGUGUGGGUGGCGUAUAAUUGCAUGUGUGUGUGUGUGUGUGUGUGUGUGUGUGUGUGUAAUGACUGUGUAAUGAAUGAUUUCUAAAAGUAAACGAUUUAAAGGGCAAAAGACAAUCACUGCAAAUCUUUAAGGCACACUUCGUGUCCCAGUCUGCGUACGGGUGGCCAUGAAGUCCAGUGAUUAGCCACCUCUCUCAGCUGUAAUCCGGCCUGUCCACUUUGACCACCAGGUGACCAACAUGGCCCUUAAUACCGACCCGACGGGCACCUGUCAUUGGUCAGUGUGGGAAGGUCAGCGGCGGCCAUCCCCACCUGAAUAGCCAAUGGUCAGUACUCUUGUUAAGUGCGAUUAGUAAUGACUUGGGGUUGAAGUUAUUUGAGACACAGUGUAAAGGAAGACCCCAAUUAAGACUGAGCCGAGGACUUACCCCUGUCUACUGUGUCCAGUCACAAGGGUCCACUGUGAGUUUGGCCACUGUUCUGACCGUCUCCACACCUGCUCGGACGCUCAAGGAAACCGUCCAGCCUCAUUUCUUGGUAAUCUCCCUUCACAUCGUAUAUAAGGUGGGCCUAUGAUAUCGCCGGAUUCCCUGCCUGUCACCCUGGACUGUGCUAGAUAAGAGACCAGUUGAAGAUAAAUUCAUAACGAAGAGGGGAAGGGGACCUCCUUUUAAAAGUCAGUCAAGUCACAUCUAAUAUACAUGUUCGUCCGAUGUCGAGGCUGGCGUGAGGAGGGCAUCCACUUGGAGAGAACCCAGAAAGCCGGAUACAAGUUGUGGCAUGUAACAAGUGGAUAAAGCAGCGUCAGCAGUUUAUAGGAAAACGACAAGAGGGUUUGCUGCUUUGAACAUAGCGCAUUCCGCGUGGCUCUCCACCUAAAGUUGACUCACAACGCAACUCGUGCUAAGAGGAAGACGACACAACGAGGACCAGAAGACACACGUUGAAUGCAACGACACAACCAUCCCUCAGGACGCACGCGCUCUGGCAGACCUAGCGCCGCCAUGAGGUUUAAAGAACGAUUUAUACAGUGGGAACAAAACAGUCGACUCCGCGGGCGAUGGGUGUUCUUAAUUUUCGUCCUCUCCGGGAUGCUUCUCGUCGGAGUUCCGUUUCUAUUGAUGAUACUUGGAGGACGUGUAGGGCCAGCCGGACAAAGAUUUGGAUUUCUAGGAAUUCUAAUAGGCCCCGCAGUUUUUAUAUUUUCUUGGACGAUGUAUUGUGUAUGUUCUCUGGGGAGAGAGUGCUCCCAAAACGUUACUUUGGAUGAUGAGAAGGAGGUAAAAGUUAAACAUGAGAAUAGCAGUUCGGGUGGAGGUUAUUUCACAGACUAUGCUAAGUACAGGGCGGCUAAACUGAAAAGUGACAGUACGCCUGCGCACAGUACGUCGGCGGGGGCGCCAACGAUAACGACGCUAGUUUUUGAGGAGAGCGAAGCGCGCUCAACGUCGGAACCGUCGAGUCCCUUUUUAGAUAGGGACAGCGUCUCAAUAGCUGAGUCAAACGUGACCUGUCUCGAAAUCAGAGACAGCUUAGCCAAAAAAUAUUACUACAGAGUGUUUGAUGAAGAUUUAGACGAGUAUGCCUCUUUCGAACCUGUUAAAAUACACAACUCUGGGCAGAUUAGGCACUCGGCAAGUUUGGACAGAGAAAAAGUCAACAAAGCUCCGAUUGUUUUACCGAACAAUUUACACGCGUCGGUGAAAACAAAGGAUAACGUUAAAGGCCAAUCAGGCGGCUUAUACAAGGAUAAUACAAAGGAAACGUUCCAUAUGCUCUCCACAGAAUGGCUGGCUCAUAUCGCCAAAUAGUGUUCUGGGGCUGAGGAAUAAUUCAUCUUAGGUGCUUUUUGACGGUGUUAAUGCUGACAAAAUUUUAAAGAUUUUCAUUUCUAUAGCUGUACUUAGAUGGUCAGAAAAUUUGUUAAAUGACAUGUUAGCUUAGAGGUAUUAGACAAUAAGAGGUUUUGAUGUAGUCUAGGAUCCAAAAUAAGAAUCCUUGACGUAAUAUUGGUACUUCUUUACACAACUAUGUGUUCUCCAAAUAAUUAAACCGUCAACUGUUA